AAAGAAAAGGAUUUUCAAAAGAACCUUUAAAGAAAAGGAUUUUCAAAAGUUCUGAACCAAAAUUUCAUUUAGAAAUACCUUUGAGCUUUCCAUAAAUCCUAUAGAUUUCUUAUGCAAUGGCUCACGUCAUUGUAGUUCGGGAGGAAUGAGCAUGAGGCUCAACCUCGUUAAAAAUUUCCAAUAUGGUCAUUCUCUCUCCUCAAAUUCAUGUACUUCUAUGCAUCCACCAAACAUUUUAAGUUUUGAAAUCAUCCUUUUAUGUAUAACUACAAUCCAAUUGUGUAUCCCUCUCCAUCGCAUAAUCUGGAUCACGUCCCAAUUGGAUACAAACACCUACUUCUACCCACUAUUUCUCUCUCAUGCGACUCAACAAGUGACUUAAUAACUCCAACCUUCUUCACCUCUUCACUAC
rnacentral:lncRNA from 1 species